rnacentral:tRNA from 1 species
AAGACUUUAAGUUAAAAAAACUAUUUACCUUCAAAGUAAAAAUUAAAUCAAUAUUUAAGUCUUA